rnacentral:rRNA from 1 species
GACGAACGCUGGCGGCGUGCUUAACACAUGCAAGUCGAGCGGUAAGGCCCUUUCGGGGGUACACGAGCGGCGAACGGGUGAGUAACACGUGGGUGACCUGCCCUCAGCUCUGGGAUAAGCCUGGGAAACCGGGUCUAAUACUGGAUAUGACUCCAUGACGCAUGUUGUGGGGUGGAAAGCCUUGUGCGGCUGAGGAUGGGCCCGCGGCCUAUCAGCUUGUUGGUGGGGUGANGGGCCUACCAAGGCGACGACGGGUAGCUGGUCUGAGAGGAUGAUCAGCCACACUGGGACUGAGACACGGCCCAGACUCCUACGGGAGGCAGCAGUGGGGAAUAUUGGACAAUGGGCGAAAGCCUGAUCCAGCAAUGCCGCGUGUGUGAAGAAGGCCUGCGGGUUGUAAAGCACUUUCAGU